UGCCCAGCAACUCCUAUCCCUACCUCCUCGCGGUACGGCCGGAAACUAUGAGCAACCUUAGGGAAGAUCGGGUAACCAACCCCGGUGGGACCUUUGGUCGUAGGCUGACAGGGAAGG
rnacentral:ribozyme from 1 species